rnacentral:rRNA from 1 species
AUGGUUGGUACGGAGAUGCUCGCGGCCGCGGCUGUGAGCCAGGUCGCCCGCAAGAUCGGCGAAAUCAUCGGCGCCGCGCAGGGCGAGGUCACGCUGUGCUGCAGUUUCAGCGACGACCUGGAGAGCAUAAAGGACACUUUGGUGUACCUAGAAGACCUGCUGAAAAAUGCGGAGAGGAACUCCUUCGGAAGCGAGAGGGCGAAUCUGCGGCACUGGCUCGCCCAGAUCAAGUCCCUGGCCUUCGACAUCGAAGACAUGGUUGACGACUACUACUCUUCCAAGGAGCAGUUUGAAGGGAGCAGCAGCUAUGCUCAGAAGGGAUCAUUGUUCUGCUCACUUUCCAAUCCCGUGAUUUCGAAAGUUAGCAUGGUUCAUAAGAUGAAAUCCAAGAGAGAGUUGUUGCAGACAAGGCAACACUUGCCUAAUCAAUAUCAUUUCAUUUCACAUAUUAACUCAGUGGUGGAUUUUGAUGAGAAGCAGACAACAUCAUACAGAAAUAGUGACAUUACUCUUUUUGGGAGAGAUAGAGACUUAGAAAAUCUCAUGAACAUGAUAAUGCAGAAAAGUGUCGGUGAGAUUUCCAUUAUUUCUAUAGUAGGGCCCAUGGGUCUCGGGAAAACAAGCCUUGCACAGCUAGUUUUCAAUGAUGCCAGAACAAAGGCAUUCAGCUUCAGGAUAUGGGUUCAUGUUUCCAUGGGUAAUGUCAGCCUUGAAAAAAUCGGGAGGGAUAUAGUUUCACAAACUACCGAAAGGAUUGAGGGAAAUAUGCAAUUACAAUCAAUUAAGAAUGCUGUUCGAACCAUACUUAAUAAGUAUAGCUGCUUAAUAGUAUUAGACAGCUUGUGGGGUAAAGAUGAAGAAGUGAAUGAGCUGAAGCAGAUGUUGCUCACUGGUAUACAGACAGAAAGCAAGAUUGUAGUGACCACCCAUAGCUAUAAAGUUGCUGAGUUGGUGUCUACUGUUCCGCCUUACAAGUUGUCUGCAUUAUCUGAAGAUGACUGUUUAAAUAUAUUUUCACAAAGGGCAAUGGCUGGGCGUGGUGACCCACUGUUCAGGGAAUACGGAGAAGAAAUUGUUAGAAGGUGUGGCGGCACACCCUUGGUUGCUAACUUUCUUGGAUCUGUUGUGAAUGCUCAACGACAGAGGCGUGAGAUUUGGAAAGCUGCCAAGGAUAAAGAAAUGUGGAAGAUAGAGGAAGAUUAUCCUGAAGACAAAAUUUCACCACUAUUUCCAUCUUUCAAGAUAAUAUAUUAUAAUAUGCCUCACGAGCUAAGAUUAUGCUUUGUAUACUGUUCAAUCUUCCCUAAAGGAUCUGUUAUAGACAAGAAAAAACUUAUUCAGCAAUGGAUUGCACUUGACAUGAUUGAGUCCAGACAUGGAACCUUACCUCAUGAUGUAACUGCUGAGAAGUAUAUUGACGAACUCAAAGCAAUAUAUUUCCUUCAAGUUAUAGAAAGGCAUCAAACUGCUGGAGAAAUAUUCAAUGCAUCAGAGGAAAUGCUCUGCAUGCAUGAUUUGGCACAUGAUCUUGCUAGGUCAGUUGCUGGUGAAGAUAUCCUUGUGAUUUUGGACGCGGAGAAUGAACGCCAUAAUAGAUUUUGUGAUUACCGUUACGCACAGGUGUCAGCUUCUAGCUUACAGUCAAUAGACAGCAAGGCUUGGCCUUCUAAGCUGAAGCAACUGCGGUAUCUUGAUGCUUCCACUUUGUCCAUUACAACACUCCCUCCUCAGUUUAGUAGCUUUAAUAAGCUACAAGCGUUGGAUCUUUCAGAAACUGAACUUAUGGAAUUGCCAUCCUUCCUCAGCAACUUAAAGGGCCUGAAUUAUUUGAAUCUCCAAGGUUGCCAGAAACUUCAGGAAUUGAAAAGCCUUGAUUUGCUGCAUGAUUUACAUUACCUAAACUUGUCAUGCUGUCCUGAAGUUAGAAGCUUCCCUGAAUCUAUUGAAAACCUCACCAAACUUCGUUUCUUGAACCUCUCAUGGUGUUCUAAGCUUCCGACGUUACCUAAUAGACUACUGCAAUCAUUUGCUAGCCUUUGUUCUCUUGUAGAUCUUAACUUAAGUGGUUUUGAGUUCCAAAUGCUGCCUGAGUUUUUUGGCAACAUUUGUUCACUUCAAUAUCUGAAUCUAUCAGAAUGUUCUAAACUUGAGGAGCUCCCCCAAUCAUUUGGCCAGCUGGCAUAUUUGAAAGCCCUAAAUCUUUCAUCUUGUCCUGAUCUUAAAAUUCUCGGUUCCUUUGAAUGCCUUACUUCUCUUCAGUUUCUGAAUCUCUCAAACUGCACUAGUCUUGAAUAUCUGCCACUGUGCCUUAAAAAGCUCCAAAAUCUUGACGUUUCUGGCUGCCAGGAUGGUAUAGUACAAUCCUGUUCUAGCAGCUCUGGAAGUUCCCCAACUCACCAAUUUUCAGAGCAAGCUGAGCAGGUCAGAUUAAGUAUUGUUACCUCAGAGAUCAUUCCGGAGGCGCCUGUGAUUGGAGAUCUGAAAGGAAAGAAGAAAUUGGCAUCUGCUUCAGGCUUGGAUGUAGUGCCUGAAGUUGUUACUAAGCCAAAUGAAACUGGAGACACACCACUUAUUCCAGGGCGCCCGUUCUCAUUGUCUUCAUCUCAUUCUUCGUCCUUUGCUUCAAGCUCAAGGGCACCGUUGGCAUAUGUCUCAUCUUCGGAUGUUUCAAAGAACAAUAAUUUGGUGCCGAAUGGAGAGAUAACAGGUACUCAAUUCAACGAAAAAUGCCAAGAGCCUCAGGACCUCAUAAAAGAUGUGCUGAUUACUGAAGAAAACAUAUGCUCAUUGGACACACCGGUUCAUGUGCAUGAAUUGGCCACCGUAGAAGGCGACGAUGACGGCCACGUAAUCAAAUAUAAUGGAGUAUAUCAGCACAGCGUACUAUGUGACAGGCCAAAUCAAGGGGUUGUCGUACAGCAGUCCAACUGA